AAAUUGAAGAGUUUGAUCAUGGCUCAGAUUGAACGCUGGCGGCAGGCCUAACACAUGCAAGUCGAACGGUAACAGAAAGCAGCUUGCUGCUUUGCUGACGAGUGGCGGACGGGUGAGUAAUGUCUGGGAAACUGCCUGAUGGAGGGGGAUAACUACUGGAAACGGUGGCUAAUACCGCAUAACGUCGCAAGACCAAAGAGGGGGACCUUCGGGCCUCUUGCCAUCA
rnacentral:rRNA from 1 species